GGUCAAGUAAUUAAGCGCAUACGGUGGAUGCCUUGGCAGCGAGAGGCGAUGAAGGACGUGGUAGCCUGCGAAAAGCCCCGGGGAGUUGGCAAACUAGCUUUGAUCCGGGGAUGUCCGAAUGGGGAAACCCACUCCGCUUGCGGAGUAUCAUGCGUUGAAUAUAUAGGCGCAUGAAGCGAACCCGGAGAACUGAAACAUCUAAGUACCCGGAGGAAAAGAAAUCAAUCAGAGAUUCCCUUAGUAGCGGCGAGCGAACGGGGAACAGCCCUUAAGUGUCACACUGAUUAGUAGAAUGUUCUGGAAAGUUCAACCAUAGAGGGUGAUAGUCCCGUAUAUAAAAAUCAGCGUGCCAUGAAAUCGAGUAGGUCGGGACACGUGAUAUCCUGACUGAACAUGGGGGGACCAUCCCCCAAGGCUAAAUACUCCUUGCUGACCGAUAGUGAACCAGUACCGUGAGGGAAAGGCGAAAAGAACCCCGGAGAGGGGAGUGAAAUAGAACCUGAAACCGUGUGCGUACAAGCAGUGGGAGCCUCGCAACCGGAGUAAUCCGGGCGUGGGGUGACUGCGUACCUUUUGUAUAAUGGGUCAGCGACUUACUUUCAGUGGCAAGCUUAAGCAUUUAGCGGAGGCGUAGGGAAACCGAGUCUUAACAGGGCGACAGUCGCUGGGAGUAGACCCGAAACCGGGCGAUCUAUCCAUGGCCAGGUUGAAGGUGGGGUAACACCCACUGGAGGACCGAACCGGGAGAUGUUGAAAAAUCUUCGGAUGAGCUGUGGAUAGGAGUGAAAGGCUAAUCAAGCCCGGAGAUAGCUGGUUCUCCUCGAAAGCUAUUUAGGUAGUGCCUCGUGUAUCACUUCUGGGGGUAGAGCACUGUUAUGGCUAGGGGGUCAUCCCGACUUACCAACCCAUUGCAAACUCCGAAUACCAGAAAGUGCCAGCACGGGAGACACACGGCGGGUGAUAAGGUCCGUCGUGGAAAGGGAAACAGCCCAGACCGUCAGCUAAGGUCCCCAAAUCACAGCUCAGUGGGAAACGAAGUGGGAAGGCCCAGACAGCCAGGAGGUUGGCUUAGAAGCAGCCAUCCUUUAAAGAAAGCGUAACAGCUCACUGGUCUAGUCGGCCUGCGCGGAAGAUUUAACGGGGCUUAAGCCGUAUACCGAAGCUGCGGCUCGAUGCGUUCUUCGGAGCGUAUCGGGGGUAGGGGAGCGUUCUGUAAGCCAGUGAAGGUGCGUCGCGAGGCGUGCUGGAGGUAUCAGAAGUGCGAAUGCUGACAUGAGUAACGAUUAUGCGGGUGAAAAACCCGCACGCCAGAAGCCCAAGGUUUCCUGCGCAACGCUAAUCGGCGCAGGGUGAGUCGGCCCCUAAGGCGAGACCGAAAGGUGUAGUCGAUGGGAAACAGGUCAACAUUCCUGUACCGGCCGUAACUGCGAUGGGGUGACGGAGAAGGUUAGGCUUACCGGGCGUUGGUUGUCCCGGGAAAAGCAGGUAGGCGGGCGCUUUUGGAAAAUCCGGAGCGCCGCUAACGCCGAGAUGCGAGACCACCGGCAUUGCCGGGAAGUAGCUGACACCAUGCUUCCAAGAAAAACCUCUAAGCAUCAGGUUGCGGACGACCGUACCGUAAACCGACACAGGUGGGCAGGGAGAGAAUCCUAAGGCGUUUGAGAGAACUCGGGUGAAGGAACUAGGCAAAUUGGUACCGUAACUUCGGGAGAAGGUACGCCUCUGACGGUGACGGGACUUGCUCCCCAAGCUGUCGGAGGCCGCAGUGACCAGGUGGCUGCGACUGUUUACUAAAAACACAGCACUCUGCUAACUCGCAAGAGGAUGUAUAGGGUGUGACGCCUGCCCGGUGCCGGAAGGUUAAGUGAUCUUGUUAGCCCUUUGGGCGAAGCUCGUGACCGAAGCCCCGGUAAACGGCGGCCGUAACUAUAACGGUCCUAAGGUAGCGAAAUUCCUUGUCGGGUAAGUUCCGACCUGCACGAAUGGCGUAACGAUGGCCACACUGUCUCCACCCGAGACUCAGCGAAAUUGAACUCGCUGUUAAGAUGCAGUGUACCCGCGGCUAGACGGAAAGACCCCGUGAACCUUUACUACAGCUUUGUACUGAAUUUUGAGCAUAUCUGUGCAGGAUAGGUGGGAGGCUUUGAAGCCGAAGCGUUAGCUUCGGUGGAGCCAACCUUGAGAUACCACCCUGAUAUGUUUGGAGUUCUAACCCAGGUCCAUUUAUCUGGAUCGGAGACAGUGCAUGGUGGGUAGUUUGACUGGGGCGGUCUCCUCCCAAAGAGUAACGGAGGAGCGCAAAGGUACCCUCAGCGCGGUCGGACAUCGCGCAUUGCGUGUAAAGGCAAAAGGGUGCUUGACUGCGAGACGUACAAGUCGAGCAGGGACGAAAGUCGGUCUUAGUGAUCCGGUGGUUCUGUAUGGAAUGGCCAUCGCUAAACGGAUAAAAGGUACUCCGGGGAUAACAGGCUGAUUCCUCCCAAGAGUCCACAUCGACGGAGGAGUUUGGCACCUCGAUGUCGGCUCAUCACAUCCUGGGGCUGUAGCAGGUCCCAAGGGUAUGGCUGUUCGCCAUUUAAAGUGGUACGCGAGCUGGGU
rnacentral:rRNA from 1 species